rnacentral:rRNA from 1 species
UACGUAGGGGGCUAGCGUUGUCCGGAAUCAUUGGGCGUAAGAGCGCGUAGGCUGCCAGAUAAGUCCGGUGUGAAAGUCACAGGCUCAACCUGUGAAUGCCGCUGGAAACUGUCUGGCUAGAGUCCGGAAGGGGCGAGUGGAAUUCCUGGUGUAGCGGUGAAAUGCGCAGAUAUCAGGAGGAACACCAAUGGCGAAGGCAGCUCGCUGGGACGGUACUGACGCUGGAGGCGACGAAAGCGUGGGGAGCAAACAGG